UUGGGAUAGUUGCAGUCAAUGAAAAGCAACUGGAAAGCGUGGAUCAUAACCAAAACGAAUUGGAUCUGUGAAAAAUAAGUAUGAGCUAUAUCGAGCUAGGUCGUUAUUAUAAAACAAGAAGAGAAUUGGGCCUGAAACCGAUCCUUGUGGAACACCACAGGUAACUGUCUGGGAAUGGGAUAAGUUUUCCGGGAGUUUAACUUUUUGAGUACGUUCUGACAGGUAUGAUAUGUCUGUAAAGCCAUACACUUCUAGUUUUUAUAGCAGAAUCUCAUAACAAAAUGUCCAGAAUGGAUAUAGAGUGAAAUAAGAAACUCAGAUAUUUUUCAAUUUAUAACUAAGACUAAUGACAAGAGAGAUAAAAACAUCGUAGUAGUUACAAAUGUAUGACUGAUUUCAAGAGCAUUCUCAGAAACCCCAAGUAAUUGUUAACGUGAAACAAGUUAGUCUAACAUAAUCAUUGCUUUUGUCUAUUUUUUUACUGGUCCUUCUUAGCUCGAAGGUUUUGAUGUGUAGCACUUUAAUUUUGGAAUAUUUCAUCCACCUUUACAAGGUUAAGAGACUUUUUGCUAUCAUUAGGAAUUGCCGUUGAAUUGAACUAUCCCGCAUAUAUAUGAAAGCUUGAGUCCCUCAGUCACUAAGCCUGGUUAUACUAUGGUUGAGACAUCUUUUAAUGCCUUAUUCACGUUACUUUCGAAUGUAUGCUUAGGCGAUCCUUUGAAUAGAAAGAGAAGUGGCCUAGGCAUCGAUCCUUGAGGAAUACCGAUAUCACAUAAUUUCGGCGAGAAUAAAUGAACAAACAGAAAAUAUUCAAAACGUCAAUGA
rnacentral:lncRNA from 1 species